GAUGAACGCUGGCGGCGUACCUAAUACAUGCAAGUCGAGCGAACAGAUGAGGAGCUUGCUCCUCUGACGUUAGCGGCGGACGGGUGAGUAACAAGUGGAUAACCUACCUAUAAGACUGGGAUAACUUCGGGAAACCGGAGCUAAUACCGGAUAAUAUAUUGAACCGCAUGGUUCAAUAGUGAAAGACGGUUUUGCUGUCACUUAUAGAUGGAUCCGCGCCGCAUUAGCUAGUUGGUAAGGUAACGGCUUACCAAGGCAACGAUGCGUAGCCGACCUGAGAGAGUGAUCGGCCACACUGGAACUGAGACACGGUCCAGACUCCUACGGGAGGCAGCAGUAGGGAAUCUUCCGCAAUAGGCGGAAGCCUGACGGAGCAACGCCGCGUGAGUGAUGAAGGUCUUCGGAUCGUAAAACUCUGUUAUUAGGGAAGAACAAAUGUGUAAGUAACUAUGCACGUCUUGACGGUACCUAAUCAGAAAGCCACGGCUAACUACGUG
rnacentral:rRNA from 1 species